GGAGGUGGUGGAUGCUGCUCAAUACGGGGGGGUCCCCAACCCCCGUUUAAAGGUGGUGGGGGUCUCAGAGCCCCCAGGAAGGAAAGGGGGGGUCAAGGUGGGAGACGUCCCCACUUUAGUGGCUGAAUUAAAGCAGAGCGGAUGCGUGCCUUGAAAUGGGGGGGGGGGUUUAAUUAACGUGGGGGGGUUAAUUAACAUGGGGGGGGGCUUAUAAUAUUAAGGAAGGGGAGCUCUUUAUAAUGGACCCCAUUAAAUUGGGGGGGGGGCUUCAGUAUCUAUAGGGUUAAAGCUAAAGUGGAGCCCCCCCCCCCCAAUUAUAUAUAGGGAUUCAAUGGGGGUGUUGAUUUGUCCCCCCCCCCACAUUAUAUGGGGGGGGGUCCAAUUAUUAAGGGGGGGGUCCUAUGUAUUAAGGAAGGGGAGCUCUUUAAAAUGGGCCCCAUUAAAUUGGGGGGGGGGCUUCAGAAUCUAUAGGGUUAAAGGUAAAGUGAGCCCCCCCCCCCCAUAUAUAUAUAUAGGGAUUCCAUUAAUAGGGAUUCAAUGGGGGUGUCAUUUUGUCCCCCCCCCCUAAAUACAAUGGGGGGGUCCAGUUAUUAAGGGGGGGGUCCUAUGUAUUAAGGAAGGGGAGCUCUUUAAGAUGGACCCCAUUAAAUUGGGGGGGGGGGCUUCAUAAUCCAUAGGGUUAAAGGUAAAGUGAGCCCCCCCCCCCACCCCAUUAUACCCCAUUAUAUAGGGAUUCAAUGGGGGUGUCGCUUUGUCCCCCCCCCUAAAUACAAUGGGGGGGUCCAAUUAUUAAGGGGGGGGUCCUAUGUAUUAAGGAAGGGGAGCUCUUUAAAAUGGACCCCAUUAAAUUGGGGGGGGGGCUUUAAAAAUCCAUAGGGUUAAAGCUAAAGUGAGCCCCCCCCCCCCCCCCGCCAUAUAUAUAUAUAGGGAUUCAAUGGGGGUGUCGCUUUGUUUUUGUUCCCCCCCGCACCCCGUGCAGUGCCUUUUGGUUCCUACCCACUUCCGGUUGUGUGUGGGGGGGGGACUCUAAUAAAGGAGCAAUGAUUUCCGCUGCGGCUGUUUGC
rnacentral:lncRNA from 1 species